rnacentral:rRNA from 1 species
CAGUAGCCGCGGUAAUACGGAGGGAGCUAGCGUUGUUCGGAAUUACUGGGCGUAAAGCGCGCGUAGGCGGUUACUCAAGUCAGAGGUGAAAGCCCGGGGCUCAACCCCGGAACUGCCUUUGAAACUAGGUGACUAGAAUCUUGGAGAGGUCAGUGGAAUUCCGAGUGUAGAGGUGAAAUCCGUAGAUAUUCGGAAGAACACCAGUGGCGAAGGCGACUGACUGGACAAGUAUUGACGCUGAGGUGCGAAAGCGUGGGGAGCAAACAGGAUUAGAGACCCCUGUAGUCCCUGUCUCUUAUAC